GGAGGGAUGGCCGAGCGGCCGAAGGCGACGGUCUUGAAAACCGUUGAGGCGUAACCCGUCUCCGUGGGUUCAAAUCCCACUCCCUCCGCCG
rnacentral:tRNA from 1 species